rnacentral:rRNA from 1 species
AUUGAACGCUGGCGGCAGGCCUAACACAUGCAAGUCGAACGAGUGGCGGACGGGUGAGUAAUGUCUGGGAAACUGCCCGAUGGAGGGGGAUAACUACUGGAAACGGUAGCUAAUACCGCAUACCAUCGGAUGUGCCCAGAUGGGAUUAGCUAGUAGGUGGGGUAAUGGCUCACCUAGGCGACGAUCCCUAGCUGGUCUGAGAGGAUGACCAGCCAAACUGGAACUGGGACACGGGCCAAGCUCCUAAGGGGGGCAACAGUGGGGGAUGUUGGACAAUGGGCGCAAGCCUGGAGCAGCCAUGCCGCGUGGUUGAAGAAGGCCUUCGGGUUGUAAAGUACUUUCAGCGGGGAAGCGUUACUCGCAGGAGAAGCACCGGCUGACUCCGUGCCAGCCGCCGGGGUAAUAC